rnacentral:rRNA from 1 species
UACGUAGGGCGCAAGCGUUGUCCGGAAUUAUUGGGCGUAAAGAGCUCGUAGGUGGCGUGUCGCGUCUGCCGUGAAAGCCCAUGGCUUAACUGUGGGUCUGCGGUGGAUACGGGCAGGCUGGAGGCUGGUAGGGGCAAGCGGAAUUCCUGGUGUAGCGGUGAAAUGCGCAGAUAUCAGGAGGAACACCGGUGGCGAAGGCGGCUUGCUGGGCCUGACCUGACGCUGAGGAGCGAAAGCGUGGGGAGCGAACAGG